rnacentral:rRNA from 1 species
UGAGGAAUAUUGGGCAAUGGAGGCAACUCUGACCCAGCCAUGCCGCGUGAGUGAAGAAGGUUUUCGGAUUGUAAAGCUCUUUCGGACGUGAAGAUGAUGACGGUAGCGUCUAAAGAAGCCCCGGCUAACUUCGUGCCAGCAGCCGCGGUAAUACGAAGGGGCGAGCGUUGUUCGGAAUUACUGGGCGUAAAGGGUGUGUAGGCGGCCAUAUAAGAUAGCGGUGAAAUCCCGGGGCUCAACCUCGGAAUUGCCAUUAUUACUAUGUGGCUAGAAUGACAGAGAGGAUAUUGGAAUACCCAGUGUAGAGGUGAAAUUCGUAGAUAUUGGGUAGAACACCGGUGGCGAAGGCGAGUAUCUGGCUGUAAAUUGACGCUGAGGCACGAAAGCAUGGGGAUCAAACAGGAUUAGAUACCCUGGUAGU